AAAGCGUGCGCAGGCGGUAAUGUAAGUCUGAUGUGAAAUCCCCGGGCUCAACCUGGGAAUUGCAUUGGAGACUGCAAGGCUAGAAUCUGGCAGAGGGGGGUAGAAUUCCACGUGUAGCAGUGAAAUGCGUAGAUAUGUGGAGGAACACCGAUGGCGAAGGCAGCCCCCUGGGUCAAGAUUGACGCUCAUGCACGAAAGCGUGGGGAGCAAACAGGAUUAGAUACCCCGGU
rnacentral:rRNA from 1 species